UACGGAGGGUGCAAGCGUUAUCCGGAUUUAUUGGGUUUAAAGGGUGCGCAGGCGGGACUUUAAGUCAGGGGUGAAAUCCCUUCGCUUAACGAAGGAACUGCCAUUGAUACUGAAGUUCUUGAAUCUAGUUGACGUUAGUGGAAUGUGUCAUGUAGCGGUGAAAUGCUUAGAUAUGACACAGAACACCGAUCGCGAAGGCAGCUAACGAAGCUAGUAUUGACGCUCAGGCACGACAGCAUGGGGAGCAAACAGG
rnacentral:rRNA from 1 species